rnacentral:rRNA from 1 species
CCACGCCGUAAACGAUGGGUGCUAGGUGUGGGGGGUGUCGACUCCCUCCGUGCCGAAGCUAACGCAUUAAGCACCCCGCCUGGGGAGUACGGCCGCAAGGCUAAAACUCAAAGGAAUUGACGGGGGCCCGCACAAGCAGCGGAGCAUGUGGUUUAAUUCGACGCGACGCGAAGAACCUUACCAGGGCUUGACAUGCACUGGAAUGUCGUAGAAAUACGGCAGCCCUUCGGGGCCAGUGCACAGGUGGUGCAUGGCUGU